rnacentral:tRNA from 1 species
GGGGCUAUAGCUCAGUGGUAGAGCGCCCACCUGACACGUGUGAGGCACUGAGUUCAAUUCUCAGCACCA